rnacentral:SRP_RNA from 1 species
GCUCGGUGCAGUGGUGCGUGCCUAUAGUCCCAGCUACUCUGGAGGCUGAGGCAGGAGGACUGUCUAAGUCUAGGAGUUCUGGGCUGUAGUGUACUAUGCGUAUCAGGUGUCCACACUAAGUCUGGCAUCGACACGAUAACCUCCCGGAAGCAAGGGAGCACCACGUUGCCUAAGGAGGGGUGAACAGGCCCAGGUCAGAAAGAGAGCAGGUCAAAUACUCCCAUGCUGAUCAGUAAUGGGAUCGCGCCUGUGAAUAACCCUUGCACUCCAGCCUGGACAACAAAGAGAAUCCCCCAUGUCU